CAGGUUCGUCCCCUCCGACGGUCUUCACAGCGACACGACCGUAAGCCCGUCCCGAAUUCCUCGCCGUCGACUCUUCCCUUCCCUUUCCGCCCAUCGGAAGUUUUCGUAAGGUUCCUGCUCGCCAGCUAGUUUGACACCAUGGUCUCAUUUGAGAUGAAUGAUCUGAAAAAAAUUGGGCUGGGCUUGACGGGGUUUGGGAUAUUUUUCUCAAUCCUGGGAAUCAUCUUUUUCUUCGAUAAGGGACUUCUGGCUAUGGGGAAUAUUCUCUUUCUGUCAGGCGUGAUGCUGACCAUUGGGCUGAAAUCCACGAUGCAGUUUUUCACUAAGCCUAAGAAUUUCAAGGGUACAAUUUCAUUUGGAUCGGGCUUCAUUUUAGUGCUGAUUGGAUGGCCUGUCAUUGGCAUGAUCUUGGAAUCGUAUGGAUUCAUCAUUCUCUUCCGUGGCUUUUGGUCAACACUAGCGAUAUUUUCACAAAGGAUCCCUAUAAUUGGCUGGUUACUCCAACAGCCAUUUGUAUCAUCGAUGCAUGCCCAACAUAUUGAAGUUCUAUGUGCAUAGCGGUCAACUAAAGCUCCAGACUGGCGAUUUUACUUUUUCAUUCUUGUGUUGGAUUAAAGAUGUAGAGGAUGGAUUCAGUUGAUCAUUGGGAGUGCCGUCCCCUCUGAGAAUCUAGACAGUCAUUAGCCCUAUGAUUUGGUGGAAUCAAGUUUCAUGCGUUAUGCAUGGUCAACCAUGUUUAGACAUGUUGCGAACAUUAGCCACUGGCCAUAUCUUGUGGCUUUCCCGGUUGGUGAUCCAUCGCAAUAAGAAAGAGAAAGAACCGCAUUCUUCG